UACGAAGGGGGCUAGCGUUGCUCGGAAUCACUGGGCGUAAAGGGCGCGUAGGCGGCCGAUUAAGUCGGGGGUGAAAGCCUGUGGCUCAAUCACAGAAUUGCCUUCGAUACUGGUUGGCUUGAGACCGGAAAGGAGCAGCGGAACUGCGAGUGUAGAGGUGAAAUUCGUAGAUAUUCGCAAGAACACCAGUGGCGAAGGCGGCUGUCUGGUCCGGUUCUGACGCUGAGGCGCGAAAGCGUGGGGGAGCAAACAGG
rnacentral:rRNA from 1 species